CGUGAAUCAUCGAGUCUUUGAACGCACAUUGCACUCUCUGGUAUUCCGGAGAGUAUGCUUGUUUGAGUAUCUGUAAACAUCUCAACUCUCACGGCGCUUGCGUCGAGAGGAUUGGAUUUGAGCGAUCCCGACUCCUUCGUGAGAAAGAGGAGGGUCGCUUGAAAUGCAGGUGCAGCAGGACAUUCUUCUGAGCUAAAAGCAUAUCUAUUUAGUCCCGUCAAACGGAUUAUUACUUUUGCUUCAGCUAACACAAAGGUUUGAAUGAACCACAAUCGCUGAUUGCAGGAAAACUCGUUCGUAACAGAACGAUUGUGAACUCGAUCUCAAAUCAAGUAAGACUACCCGCUGAACUUAAGCAUAUCAAUAAGCGGAGG
rnacentral:rRNA from 1 species